rnacentral:rRNA from 1 species
GACGAACUCUGGCGGCGUGCUUAACACAUGCAUGUCGAACGGUAAGGCUCCAGCUUGCUGGGGUACACGAGUGGCGAACGGGUGAGUAACACGUGGGUGACCUGCCCUGCACUUCGGGAUAAGCCUGGGAAACUGGGUCUAAUACCGGAUAGGACCGCACCGUGAGGGUGUGGUGGAAAGUUUUUUCGGUGUGGGAUGGGCCCGCGGCCUAUCAGCUUGUUGGUGGGGUAAUGGCCUACCAAGGCGGCGACGGGUAGCCGGCCUGAGAAGGUGGACGGCCACAUUGGGACUGAGACACGGCCCAGACUCCUACGGGAGGCAGCAGUGGGGAAUAUUGCACAAUGGGCGGAAGCCUGAUGCAGCGACGCCGCGUGGGGGAUGACGGCCUUCGGGUUGUAAACUCCUUUCACCAUCGACGAAGGGUUUCUGACGGUAGAUGGAGAAGAAGCACCGGCUAACUACGUGCCAGCAGCCGCGGUAAUACGUAGGGUGCGAGCGUUGUCCGGAAUUACUGGGCGUAAAGAGCUCGUAGGUGGUUUGUCGCGUCGUCUGUGAAAUUCCGGGGCUUAACUCCGGGCGUGCAGGCGAUACGGGCAUAACUUGAGUACUGUAGGGGAGACUGGAAUUCCUGGUGUAGCGGUGAAAUGCGCAGAUAUCAGGAGGAACACCGGUGGCGAAGGCGGGUCUCUGGGCAGUAACUGACGCUGAGGAGCGAAAGCAUGGGGAGCGAACAGGAUUAGAUACCCUGGUAGUCCAUGCCGUAAACGGUGGGCGCUAGGUGUGGGUUUCCUUCCGCGGGAUCCGUGCCGUAGCUAACGCAUUAAGCGCCCCGCCUGGGGAGUACGGCCGCAAGGCUAAAACUCAAAGGAAUUGACGGGGGCCCGCACAAGCGGCGGAGCAUGUGGAUUAAUUCGAUGCAACGCGAAGAACCUUACCUGGGCUUGACAUAUACAGGAUCGCGCCAGAGAUGGUGUUUCCCUUGUGGCUUGUAUACAGGUGGUGCAUGGUUGUCGUCAGCUCGUGUCGUGAGAUGUUGGGUUAAGUCCCGCAACGAGCGCAACCCUUGUCUUAUGUUGCCAGCACGUUGUGGUGGGGACUCGUAAGAAACUGCCGGGGUUAACUCGGAGGAAGGUGGGGAUGACGUCAAAUCAUCAUGCCCCUUAUGUCCAGGGCUUCACACAUGCUACAAUGGUCGGUACAGUGGGUUGCCAGUCCGUGAGGGCGAGCUAAUCCCGCAAAGCCGGUCUCAGUUCGGAUCGGGGUCUGCAACUCGACCCCGUGAAGUCGGAGUCGCUAGUAAUCGCAGAUCAGCAACGCUGCGGUGAAUACGUUCCCGGGCCU